AUUUAACAUUUUUUUCCUAUUCGGACUCAGUAUAACAUUUAGCAUUGUAAUAGAAAAAAGCUAAGUGUUUAUGUGAGUGUUUGGUGAGAUAAUGAUGGGCAUGCCAAUUUCUCUACUCUAAGUGUUACUCUGGAUAUUUCUAAAAGGUUUAUGUGUUAUGAUUUGCUUAAGUUCUGCUCAUGGGAGCUUCCUAAGCAAUUCUUUCUCUCAUCCAUGCUAGAUUUCAUUCUCAAUCAUUCCAUUCCAUUCCCCAAGCUCCUCUUAUUUUGUUUUUAUGAUUUAAGAUGGCAAACAACCUAAGAAACCUAUGGUUUUAUCUUAUCUCCCACCCAUUUAUUUUCCUAAAAUUUGAUUUUAUUUCCUUUUUCCACAAUGUAGCCUGAUAUUAAAACCAAUUAUUUUGUUGUUCUAUCUCACAUACCUUGUGCAAAAGUCACUCCAAUAUCAUCAAUAUCAUGAUUCUUCCCCCACUUUUUCUAUUAGUAUUUAAAUUCCUCCAAGAUCCACACCUAAAUUCCAAUAUUUUCAACUACAAUCUUUGCUUUUCCACUUCUAGUCUCCAAUUUCCAUUUUGUUAAUAAGACAGAGUUAAACAUUUCAUAUCUCUUAUGCCUCUCCCAUUUUCAUCUUUUAGCUUGCCCAAAGUAUCCCAUUUAAUUGAGACUAUCUUCCUAUCCUUCCUCCC
rnacentral:lncRNA from 1 species